UACGUAGGGGGCAAGCGUUGUCCGGAAUCAUUGGGCGUAAAGAGCGUGUAGGUGGCUCGGUAAGUCCGCUGUGAAAGUCCAGGGCUCAACCCUGGAAUGCCGGUGGAAACUGUCGAGCUAGAGUCCGGAAGAGGCGAGUGGAAUUCCUGGUGUAGCGGUGAAAUGCGCAGAUAUCAGGAGGAACACCAAUGGCGAAGGCAGCUCGCUGGGACGGUACUGACACUGAGACGCGAAAGCGUGGGGAGAAACAGG
rnacentral:rRNA from 1 species